GUGGGGAAUAUUGGACAAUGGGGGGAACCCUGAUCCAGCCAUGCCGCGUGUGGGAAGAAGGCCUUUUGGUUGUAAAGCACUUUAAGCGAGGAGGAGGCUACCGAGAUUAAUACUCUUGGAUAGUGGACGUUACUCGCAGAAUAAGCACCGGCUAACUCUGUGCCAGCAGCCGCGGUAAUACAGAGGGUGCAAGCGUUAAUCGGAUUUACUGGGCGUAAAGCGCGCGUAGGUGGCCAAUUAAGUCAAAUGUGAAAUCCCCGAGCUUAACUUGGGAAUUGCAUUCGAUACUGGUUGGCUAGAGUAUGGGAGAGGAUGGUAGAAUUCCAGGUGUAGCGGUGAAAUGCGUAGAGAUCUGGAGGAAUACCGAUGGCGAAGGCAGCCAUCUGGCCUAAUACUGACACUGAGGUGCGAAAGCAUGGGGAGCAAACAGGAUUAGAUACCCGAGUAGUCC
rnacentral:rRNA from 1 species